AUUGAACGCUAGCGGGAUGCCUUACACAUGCAAGUCGAACGGAGUGGCGAACGGGCGGGUAAUGUAUGGGAACGUGCCCAGUAGCGGGGGAUAACUACGCGAAAGCGUAGCUAACACCGCACACUAUUGGACCGGCGGACAUGGGAUUAGCUAGCUGGUGGGGUAACGGCUCACCAAGGCGACGAUCCGUAGCUGGUUUGAGAGGACGACCAGCCACACUGGGACUGAGACACGGCCCAGACUCCUACGGGAGGCAGCAGUGGGGAAUUUUGGACAAUGGGGGAAACCCUGAUGCAGCCAUCCCGCGUGUGCGAUGAAGGCCUUCGGGUUGUAAAGCACUUUUGGCAGGGAGGCGGUACCUGCAGAAGAAGCACCGGCUAACUACGUGCCAGCAGCCGCGGUAAUUC
rnacentral:rRNA from 1 species